UUAUAGCUUUAAAUUAACAUUAAAUCCAAUAGUUACUCUCCAGCUUUGCCCGUCCCACCCAGCCAAUGAGUUCAAUUAAGACUUCAACAACCAUUCAGUGUUCAUUAACUUCAUAUCAAGGCUUCAAACAACUCCAUCUUUGGAAGUUGAGAAGCUUCUUGGGCUUGGGGAAGGGACAAAUGAAAUAUUGGAAAGGUAAUGCAAUUAGAAAGCUGUUAUAGGCUAUAUCUGUCUGAUCCAGAGAACACAUAAUUUUGCUG